GAUGAAGAACGCAGCGAAAUGCGAUAAGUAAUGCGAAUUGCAGAAUUUCCGUGAGUCAUCGAAUCUUUGAACGCACAUUGCGCCCACUGGUAUUCCGGCGGGCAUGCCUGUUCGAGCGUCAUUACAACCCUCAGGCCCCCGGGCCUGGCGUUGGGGAUCGGCGGAAGCCCCCUGCGGGCACAACGCCGUCCCCCAAAUACAGUGGCGGUCCCGCCGCAGCUUCCAUUGCGUAGUAGCUAACACCUCGCAACUGGAGAGCGGCGCGGCCACGCCGUAAAACACCCAACUUCUGAAUGUUGACCUCGAAUCAGGUAGGAAUACCCGCUGAACUUAAGCAUAUCAAUAAGCGGAGGA
rnacentral:misc_RNA from 1 species